CGCGAUAGUAAUUCAACCUAG
rnacentral:snRNA from 1 species